GUGCUCAUUUUGGCAGCACAUAUACUAAAAUUGAAAUGACACAAAGAAGAUUAGCAGGGUCCCUGCACAAGGAUGACGUGCAAAUUUGUUGGUUCCCUGUGAAGUGU
ensembl:snRNA U6 U6 spliceosomal RNA